rnacentral:rRNA from 1 species
AUUGAACGCUGGCGGCAUGCCUUACACAUGCAAGUCGAACGGUAACGCGGGGCAACCUGGCGACGAGUGGCGAACGGGUGAGUAAUGCAUCGGAACGUACCCAGUAGUGGGGGAUAGCCCGGCGAAAGCCGGAUUAAUACCGCAUACGACCUACGGGUGAAAGGGGGGGAUCGCAAGACCUCUCGCUAUUGGAGCGGCCGAUGUCAGAUUAGGUAGUUGGUGGGGUAAAAGCCUACCAAGCCUGUGAUCUGUAGCUGGUCUGAGAGGACGACCAGCCACACUGGGACUGAGACACGGCCCAGACUCCUACGGGAGGCAGCAGUGGGGAAUUUUUGGACAAUGGGCGCAAGCCUGAUCCAGCAAUGCCGCGUGCGGGAAGAAGGCCUUCGGGUUGUAAACCGCUUUUGUCAGGGAAGAAAUCUUCUGGGUUAAUACCUCGGGGGGAUGACGGUACCUGAAGAAUAAGCACCGGCUAACUACGUG